rnacentral:rRNA from 1 species
AACGAACGCUGGCGGCAGGCUUAACACAUGCAAGUCGAGCGCCCCGCAAGGGGAGCGGCAGACGGGUGAGUAACGCGUGGGAAUCUACCCAUCUCUACGGAAUAACGCAUGGAAACAUGUGCUAAUACCGUAUACGUCCUUCGGGAGAAAGAUUUAUCGGAGAUGGAUGAGCCCGCGUUGGAUUAGCUAGUUGGUGGGGUAAGGGCCUACCAAGGCGACGAUCCAUAGCUGGUCUGAGAGGAUGAUCAGCCACACUGGGACUGAGACACGGCCCAGACUCCUACGGGAGGCAGCAGUGGGGAAUAUUGGACAAUGGGCGCAAGCCUGAUCCAGCCAUGCCGCGUGAGUGAUGAAGGCCCUAGGGUUGUAAAGCUCUUUCACCGGUGAAGAUAAUGACGGUAACCGGAGAAGAAGCCCCGGCUAACUUCGUGCCAGCAGCCGCGGUAACAC